rnacentral:tRNA from 1 species
GCUCUGGUAGCUUAAACUUUUCUAAAGCCUUGUUCUUGUAAACCAAAGCCGGGUCACACCCCCAGAGCA